CAGUCGCCACGGGAAUACGGAGGGUGCAAGCGUUAAUCGGAAUUACUGGGCGUAAAGCGCACGCAGGCGGUUUGUUAAGUCAGAUGUGAAAUCCCCGGGCUCAACCUGGGAACUGCAUUUGAAACUGGCAAGCUAGAGUCUCGUAGAGGGGGGUAGAAUUCCAGGUGUAGCGGUGAAAUGCGUAGAGAUCUGGAGGAAUACCGGUGGCGAAGGCGGCCCCCUGGACGAAGACUGACGCUCAUGCACGAAAGCGUGGGGAGCAAACAGGAUUAGAUACCCGCGUAGUCCCUGUCUCUUAUAC
rnacentral:rRNA from 1 species